GGCCACUGCUAUUGGGGUUCGACUAAGCCAUGCGAGUCUAUGGACUUCGGUCCAUGGCGGACGGCUCAGUAACACGUGGCUAACCUACCCUCAGGUGGGGGAUAACCUCGGGAAACUGAGGAUAAUACCCCAUAGGGGAAGAGGUCUGGAAUGAUCCUUCCCUGAAAGGAUAUCCGCCUGAGGGUGGGGCUGCGUCCGAUUAGGUAGUUGGUGGGGUAACGGCCCACCAAGCCUACGAUCGGUACGGGCCUUGAGAGAGGGAGCCCGGAGAUGGGGACUGAGACACGGCCCCAGGCCCUACGGGGCGCAGCAGGCGCGAAACCUCCACAAUGCACGAAAGUGCGAUGGGGGAAUCCCAAGUGCCUAUGCACAGCAUAGGCUUUUCCCAAGUCUAAACAACUUGGGGAAUAAGGGCUGGGCAAGUCCGGUGCCAGCAGCCGCGGUAACACCGGCGGCCCGAGUGGUGGCCACUCUUAUUGGGCCUAAAGCGUCCGUAGCCGGUUCAGUAAGUCUCUGUUUAAAUCCUACGGCUUAACCGUAGGGCUGGCAGAGAUACUGCUGGACUUGGGACCGGGAGAGGAAGAGGGUACUUCGGGGGUAGCGGUGAAAUGCGUUGAUCCCUGAGGGACCACCUAUGGCGAAGGCACUCUUCUGGAACGGGUCCGACGGUGAGGGACGAAAGCCAGGGGAGCGAACCGGAUUAGAUACCCGGGUAGUCCUGGCCGUAAACUUUGCGAACUAGGUGUCAUCUGGACCUCGGGUCCAGGUGGUGCCGAAGGGAAGCCAUUAAGUUCGCCGCCUGGGGAGUACGGUCGCAAGACUGAAACUUAAAGGAAUUGGCGGGGGAGCAACACAGACGGGUGGAGCCUGCGGUUU
rnacentral:rRNA from 1 species